UGAUAAAUUUGUAUCUAUAUGAGUCAUAAAAAAUAGUAUGGAUCGCAUGCAAGAAUUUCAACCAACAUAGAGGCACUUGCACAAUAUUCUUAUGUUACAUGAAACCCUGCAUGGCCUAAUAAAUCAAACAAAAGUGAGACAAACUACGGAAUCGGUUUUUCUGCUCCCCAUGAGGAUAUUGCAAUGCUCACAAUACAUCACAAAAACAGAGUAACUAGUUGCAAUCAUACAGGAUGGUGGCACAGGGGGGAGGUUACUUAUCUACUACAAAACUCUUAGUAGCUGAUGUCUUCAGAGUAUAUGCUCCAAAUAUCAGAGAUUCUUCGCCUUCUCC
rnacentral:sRNA from 1 species